rnacentral:lncRNA from 1 species
GGAACCUUCCAGUGAGACUCCACAACCUGCAGAGUUGCAUGGCACCUCUCAAGAGAAGGGGAUAUAAAGUGCUCCUAUCUGUCAGAAGCUGCAGCAUGUGCUGGCACAGAUUUCCCACCCUCUAGUCGUGGAUCCUCUUGUGCCAAAAUGAAAGCCUGGUGUCUUGUCACUUAUAGUUGUGACUCUGGUCAAAGACUUUCUCCAGCAUUGUGAACACGUCAAAUUAUUGUCUAAAUGAAAAUUGUGGUCAGGUGCUUAAGGUAUUCUCCUCAGCGUUCAACUUUGCCUGUCAAGUUCAACUGCUUUUAUGCCCAGAUGCUUCUCUUUUGAAGAAUCAUAACCAGAAAUCCGAUUUUUGAGGCUGGACCUCAUGAUAUUUUGUGGCACGGAUUACCUAGUUGAAGAAAAACAAGUUGGUAUCCAUGAUUGGGGAAAAGGAGGCCAACUUGUUAUAUGUGCUAAAAAAUAUAAGAAUGAUUGAACCUUCAGCAUAUCACCUAUCAAAUGAUCUCUGCAUGAAGAAUUAGAUGUGAAAACUAGCUUCUGGGAGAGGCAAGACUGAAGUGCCUCAUGAAGUGCUUAACAAGACAGCUGAACAAGACACAUUUUCAAUUCCAUUUAUCUAUUAAAAUUAUUUCUUGAGGACCUUGUGAAGGUUUGAUUUAAAGGUAUAUUAGAAGAACUAUGUUAAAGACUGCUAGAAGGCUUUAAAUUAAAUGUUCUUAUGAAGUAAACCCUAAGUUUAAUCAUUUAUCAUGCAUGUUUGGGUUGAAAAGCAUUACAAUGUGUGUUAUAUACGCACAUGUAAGUAUUAACAUAAGUAAACGGGAUUGAUUGGAUUGAGUCUUAGAGUAUAUAUUCUGUUCCCCAAAAGACGUUUGUCUUAAGGAACUCUAAUUACAGAGAAAAUUUAAAAUCAUAGAAUCAUAAUCAUUUCCAGCUAUCACUCAGUGGUUUAGUUCACUUCUCUAAGUACCAGUUACUUUGUAUUCAGAUAUGUACUUUAAAUAAUUAACAGUUAUAUAUGGAAUUACGUGUACAUUCAUUAUACUUUUUAAUGAUGUUCCACAAUACAUAAAUGUGCAUCCUGAAUGCCCAUCCUUAAUAUUCUCCAGAUCAUCCUGAGAACAUACUGAACAGCUGUAGGCCAAUACCUC